ACAAUUCACAACAUGCUUAGACUUUCUGUUUUGCCUAAAUAUUCUCUUUCUUGAACAACCCGGUCAUUUUAUUUUAGGACAAAAAAUUUAUCACACAAAAUUGCUUCUUAUAUAAAAUUGCUGUUUUUCACCUUUAUCAAAAAUACCUCUUUAUGUCUUUAACUUUCUUCUCUUAUUUCCUGGUUCCUAUUACCUCAUUAUAUACAUAACUUUUAUAGAAGCUUUGAAUUAGACAAAGAUAUUUACCUUCUAAUAAGAACAUUUUAAAAAUGUUUUCCUACAUUUUUUGGGUUGGAAAUUACCCAACUACUUAAUAUCUAUUAAUAACCUUAGAUACCAAGUCAUAUGACAAGUCUGUUUACAACCAUUUAUUCCAUUACAUUUACAAGAUAAUUUAAUAUUUUAUCUAGAUUAUGAAAACUGUGAUAGUCAUUAUUUAAGUAAAUUCCCUGUUAACCAUUUUUGUAGCUAUGAAUUUCAGGUGUUUAAUUCAGUAAAGUAUU